rnacentral:rRNA from 1 species
AUACGGAGGAUCCGAGCGUUAUCCGGAUUUAUUGGGUUUAAAGGGUGCGCAGGCGGGAGAUUAAGUCGGCGGGGAAAUUUUGGAGGUCAACAGUAAAAGUGCCCUCGAAACUGGUUUUCUUGAGUGUAAGUGAAGUAAGCGGAAGUUGUGGUGUAGCGGUGAAAUGCAUAGAUAUCACGAGGAACUCCGAUUGCGCAGGCAGCUUACUAAACUACUACUGACGCUCAGGCACGAAGGCGUGGGGAUCAAACAGGAUUAGAUACCCUGGUAGUCCACGCAGUAAACGAUGAUUACUAGCUGUUUGCGAUACAAUGUAAGCGGCUGAGCGAAAGCGUUAAGUAAUCCACCUGGGGAGUACGUUCGCAAGAAUGAAACUCAAAUGAAUUGACGGGG